UUGCCUUUUUUUCAUUUAGUGUUUUUUUUAAUAAGGAUGGAGUCGGUAUAAUUGGCUAAUUAAGGACUAAUUUGGAAAUGGUGUUUUGGGGCAAUGUUGUUCCUUUUUGACAUAGCACAGAAUUGACAAACUUCAUCCAGUUUUGACAUCUUCGAAGCAGAGGCCCUGAUGCUCACCCUAAAUAAUGGCAUUUCCAAAUCUCUAACAUUGUUUGAAACUAGGCUUAUUGCUUCACGAGAUUUGGAUAGAUGUGAUUUGUGGUGUUAAAUCUUUGCCUGAGCCUGAAGAUACUUCACCAUACUGCAUGCUGAUUGUAUUUGAUGCUGUGCAAGCCCUAAUGGUUGAAGGAAGGCAACCUCAUUGAUGUUUGGCAACUGCUUAAUCUGAAAGGGGCUCUUGUAUUUCUUCCAGUCAGUGAAUUUAUUGCAAGUUAGUAAGUUGAAUGUUCAUCUUGAAAUGGUUGAAGAGAUCGAGUGGAGUCUACUCUUCAACAAGGGGAUUCAACAUCAUCGAGUGACAGAUUAAAUUUUUUUAGUAGUUACUCUAGUUGAGCAAUAAUAAUUUAUGAUUUGUGCCAUGGCAAUUAUUCAUUAUAUG